GAUCAUUAAAUAAUUUGAUAUUUUCUGGGUUGAAUUUAUUUUCUUCUCCAGUUUAAAAUAUUCUAUUUUACUGUGAACUGUAUUAUUACAGGACGCUUGAGGGAUGCUUAUUGACUAUAAGGGAUAGGUCAGUAAGAUGUUAACCGAUGUCUUGAUCAAACUUUACUUCAAAAGUUUGGUAUCCUAAUUAUUAUUUACCAAAAGAAUUCAGAAUAAAAUAUUGUAACAUAGACCUAAGAAAUCUAUAAAAACAACUUUUAACAACGGAUCUCUUGGUUCUCGCAUCGAUGAAGAACGUAGCAAAGUGCGAUAACUAGUGUGAAUUGCAUAUUCAGUGAAUCAUCGAGUCUUUGAACGCAACUUGCGCUCAUUGGUAUUCCAAUGAGCACGCCUGUUUCAGUAUCAGAAACACCCCACAUCCAAAAAUUUAUUUUUUUUUUAGAUAGAUUUUUGCUGAUGGAAUUGAGAGUACUUUUACGGDUGACAUUUAUUUGUUCGCCGUUCUCUUUAAAAAUAUUAGGCCUGAAAUUUUAGUUUUUUAAAUUUGCCUGAACUUUUUUUUUAA
rnacentral:misc_RNA from 1 species